rnacentral:lncRNA from 1 species
UAAUAAUAAGAAUUUUUCAACAAUAUCAAAAUCUCUAAUACAAUCAUUAAAUGGAAGUGAAAUGAGAUACAAAAAAUGGUAAAGAUUAAGUCGUGGAUCACAAUUUCUUGCGUUCCUUGGUUGCUUGAUGGCUGCUAUAUAAGGCUUCAAUGACUGAUAGGUGCACAAAUAGAGAAGAAGAUGGUGAUUUGAGAAAUAGUAAAGGUUCGAUUGUUGAGUGUGUGCAUCAUAAAUAUCGUCCGUUUUGCAACGGCUAUUUGCACGUACGCUUUGUGUGAUCCACCCACCAUUAGGAAGACUCGCCAUUUUUGGUUCUCAGCACCUUACUCUUCUACGUGAUGGAUAACCAUCAUGCAUUCAUUUCUCACCGAGUUUGCCGCAUUGACUCCAUGCUUGAUGACAAAGCUUCACUUUGCCUAUGUGCUGAAGUGUUUGAAAGUUACACUUUAGACAAUUAAUUUCUCUUUUUCUUUGAAUCAUGCAAUGAACAACAAAAAAAUGUUGUAGUUUCUAGGAUUUUGAGCACUGUCUUAGAUCACAAGAUUGCAUAAUUUCUAAGUUUAAUUAGUUGAUGUGUUUU